AAUCAGGCAGCUGGGGACAAGUUCCCUCUCUGGUCCGAGCCUAAGCCGGGACCAAUCAGCAGGAGAACACAACCAAAUCUAUAAUUUACAUACGGGGAAGUGGGAACCUAUAAAACUGACAUAUUCGCGCCCAAAAGGGGUUCCUUCUUCGACCUCCUGCGUGAGGACCAAGGAACCCCGGUGCACCGGCCUUCAAUAAACCUCUUGCGUUUUGCAUCGA